GAUGAACGCUGGCGGCGUGCCUAAUACAUGCAAGUCGAGCGAACAGACGAGGAGCUUGCUCCUCUGACGUUAGCGGCGGACGGGUGAGUAACACGUGGAUAACCUACCUAUAAGACUGGGAUAACUUCGGGAAACCGGAGCUAAUACCGGAUAAUAUAUUGAACCGCAUGGUUCAAUAGUGAAAGACGGUUUUGCUGUCACUUAUAGAUGGAUCCGCGCCGCAUUAGCUAGUUGGUAAGGUAACGGCUUACCAAGGCAACGAUGCGUAGCCGACCUGAGAGGGUGAUCGGCCACACUGGAACUGAGACACGGUCCAGACUCCUACGCGAGGCAGCAGUAGGGAAUCUUCCGCAAUGGGCGAAAGCCUGACGGAGCAACGCCGCGUGAGUGAUGAAGGUCUUCGGAUCGUAAAACUCUGUUAUUAGGGAAGAACAAAUGUGUAAGUAACUAUGCACGUCUUGACGGUACCUAAUCAGAAAGCCACGGCUAACUACGUG
rnacentral:rRNA from 1 species